rnacentral:rRNA from 1 species
AUACGUAGGGGGCUAGCGUUAUCCGGAUUUACUGGGCGUAAAGGGUGCGUAGGUGGUUUUUUAAGUCAGGAGUGAAAGGCUACGGCUCAACCGUAGUAAGCUCUUGAAACUGGAAAACUUGAGUGCAGGAGAGGUAAGUGGAAUUCCUAGUGUAGCGGUGAAAUGCGUAGAUAUUAGGAGGAACACCAGUAGCGAAGGCGGCUUUCUGGACUGUAACUGACACUGAGGCACGAAAGCGUGGGGAGCAAACAGGAUUAGAUACCCUGGUAGUCCACGCCGUAAACGAUGAGUACUAGGUGUCGGGGGUUACCCCCCUCGGUGCCGCAGCUAACGCAUUAAGUACUCCGCCUGGGGAGUACGCUCGCAAGAGUGAA